rnacentral:rRNA from 1 species
UACGACUACAUAUCAGGCAUAUCAAUAAGCGGAGGAAAAGAAACUAACUAGGAUUCCCUAGUAACGGCGAGUGAAGCGGGAAGAGCUCAAAUUUGAAAUCUUAAAGGUUUCCCUUGACGAAUUGUAGUUUAAAGAAGUGUUUUCUGUUGGAGUUUCGGUAAAAGUUCUUUGGAAUAGGACAUCAUAGAGGGUGAGAAUCCCGUAUUUGACCAUUUACUUUCCAGCUGUGUGAUACACUUUCAAAGAGUCGGAUUGUUUGGGAAUGCAGUCCAAAAUGGGUGGUAAAUUUCAUCUAAAGCUAAUAUUGGCGAGAGACCGAUAGCGAACAAGUACCGUGAGGGAAAGAUGAAAAGAACUUUGAAAAGAGAGUUAAACAGUACGUGAAAUUGUCAAAAGGGAAGCGUUUGACACCAGUGUUGUUUAGUUGAAAAUCAAUUAAAUAGUUUUCGAUUUUAAGUAGUAUUGACCUUAUCAGCUUGCUGCUUUUUUCUCGGAAAUUAUUUAAUGCACUUUUCAGUUAACAAGUCAACAUCAAUUUCUUUUGUUGUAAAAAGGUAAGAGGAAGGUGGCUUGCGCUUCGGCUCAAGUGUUUAUAGCCUUUUACCCCUGCAAUCGGAGAGAUUGAGGUCUGCAGCGUAGAUCCUUCGGGGUUAGAUACAUUUGUGCUAAGCUAUAGCCUUGUAUAGACAACUUGUUGACUAUGCUCAGUCAUGUAGCUUACUCGCUUAUGCUAUUUUACCUACGCUUAGGAUGUUGAAUCUGUGCGAGACUAC